UUAGCCUCGAUCCCAGGCCGAGUUUUCGCUUUUAUAACGGUUAGGCGAACAACUGGGCCUGGUACUAGUUGUCUGCGCAUGUGUCAGUCGUUCGUCAGAUUCUGACGAAUGGAUAUUCUCGUUCACUUUCGUGACAUUUAUAUUCGUGUACUAUCGUGUACUAGAAGUCAGUUCCCGUUUUAUCAUUAUUGGAAUCGAUUGGAAUGGCUCUUAGCUGAAGCUUCUCUCUUCUCUGAAGCUUAUUCUGAAGACUGAACAACAAGGGAAGAGGUAUAAAGCUUUGUCAAGCUUGUUAAGGUCAGAUAUUUUUGUGUGGGCCCUAUGGCCGGCUAUGCUAUCAAGUCUUGUUCAUGUUUGGCAAGAAUGUAGGUAGACUAUAGUUUCAUCAUUAAUAUGGUGGAUCAAGUGAAGAGUGUGAGCUAGAGAACUUGGUGCUGCCAUCAUCAGCUCGUCGACAAUGACACUAUAACCGAGAAAUUUAAUAUGUAUAGAUCUACACGUAUUUAAAAUGUCUACUUCUCUGUACAGGAGCAAUGGCUAAUAUCCAGCUAUCCCAACAGUGCUCCUCUUGGCUAUACUAACGGACGAGACUGGACAGUUUGAGACACAGGACUGGAGUAUGACCUGCUCAUUCGAGCGUUGCUGGGUAGCUCAGAGACAUCAAGAGAAUCUACGUUUUCUCAAGCAAUGAGUUACGAGUUGGGGCCUAGAAUCAGAGAAGUCCAGCAGCCUGCUAAAUCUUUUUGAAACGUAAUUUGAAGGCAUUCAAUCAUCCUGAAGUUGCCCUGUGUCACUGUAAUUGUGCUGCAGCACAACUGGCAACUCCCCAGGCCUUUGUGAAGCAGCUCCCUAUGUGCAUCUUUUGUGUACUCACUCUGUGCAUUUUCUGUGUACAAAUUUCCAUUAUUGAUUUAUUAAAUAUUUUUGCCGACCACAAA